UACGUAGGUGGCAAGCGUUGUCCGGAAUCACUGGGUGUAAAGGGAGCGCAGGCGGGAAGCCAAGUCAGCUGUGAAAACUACGGGCUUAACUUGUAGACUGCAGUUGAAACUGGUUUUCUUGAGUGAAGUAGAGGUUGGCGGAAUUCCGAGUGUAGCGGUGAAAUGCGUAGAUAUUCGGAGGAACACGGGUGGCGAAGGCGGCCAACUGGGCUUUAACUGACGCUGAGGCUCGAAAGUGUGGGGAGCAAACAGG
rnacentral:rRNA from 1 species